rnacentral:rRNA from 1 species
AUGGAUGACCAUGACAAUACUAGCUUCCCACUCUCCGAUUUCGGUCUUGGGGAUAUGGAGUAUAGCCACUACCCUAGUAGCUCCGAUCCCAGUACCAUGCCCCCACCCCAGCAACAUGCCUAUACUACCAUGCCCCCACCUGAGCAACUUGCCUAUACCGAUCAUCACACUCUCGAACCCCAUAUCGAUCCCACUUCCGAAGCCGAAGGUCACACCAAUUCUAGUAGCGGGACGGGUUCCUCGACCACCAUGGGUGUAAAGCAAAAAAGUCGUCGUAGAACCUCGGUAGUGUGGGGAUAUUUCGAUGAAGAAAUAUCCGUGGUGGCCGGUGUCCGGAAGGUGAGUGCAAGGUGCAAAAGGUGCAAGAAGGAACUUACCGGAGAAGCCAAGGCAGGAACCGGCCACCUAAAGAGGCACGUGGAUAGCCACGCCAAGGCGGAUGCAACGAGCGCGUCAAGCUCGGCAACUGUGCAAACUCAACCCUCCUUCAACCCUGACGCUGUACUCAAAGUUGUGAAUGAUUUUAAUCUUGCCGACAAGGUUUUUGCAAUAACUUUGGAUAAUGCUUCAGCUAACACCAGUGCAAUGAAUACCCUGACUCCUAUAUUCUCCGUAUAUGCUGCAUCAUUUUUAAUGCAUCAACGUUGUGCUUGCCAUAUCAUUAAUCUUAUUGCUAAAGCAUUGACUGCAUUUCUUGAGUUGUUCUAUGAUGCAACAGUUACUUUGUCUGGGGUUUAUUACCCGUCAUCUCCUUUGAUGGUGCAUACCCUAUUAGACAUUGCUAGUCAUCUGAAAUCAUAUGAAGGGGAUGGGUUAUUACUUAAUGUUGUUGCUGACGUGAAAACCAACAUCUGUGGUUCUUCGUCCUCCUCGACCGCUGGAAGCUCUUCCACGUCAACAUUUGUGCUUCAAGGUGGCGGGGAGUUAGCAAAGUACCUCAACAGUGACAAAGUCAUGUACGAUUUAGAUAGUGAGGACGACUUCAACAUACUGCAGUGGUGGCAAGAACACAAGCUUAAAUUUCCGGUGCACUCCAUAUUAGCAUGUGAUGUGUUAUCGGUGCCUGUCUCUACGGUGUCAUCGGAGUCUGCUUUCAGCCUUGCUGGAAGAAUAAUUGAGGAGAGAAGAACUAGUCUCGCCCCUGAUAUGGUGAGAUCACUAAUGUCCGUGAAAGAUGGGGAGUUAUCAAGAAGGAGAGCGCAACACACUGCAGAAAACAAAGAACUAAUAGACAUGUUUGAAGAAAUGAACUUUGAAGAAGACCCGGAAGAAUAG